ncrna:unclassified sequences drum RNA
CGGUAAUGAAGCAAUUGACUGGUUCGGUUUCAGCCGAUUGUGGAGCCAGACCGUGGGUUAUGCGGUAACCACAAGCCGAAUAGAUUCUUUGAAUCGAAGAAAAACGCUUAAU